rnacentral:rRNA from 1 species
GGAUAACCGUGGUAAUUCUAUGGCUAAUACAUGCGCAAAUAUCCUUUGAGAAAAGGAUAGUGUUUAUUAGAUACAGAACCAAUAAAGACAUCAUCACAAGAGCAGCUUUUGUUCUUUCUUGUGGUGUCUUUUUUAAAGGUGAUUUAUCGUAACCGAACGGAUCGCAUAUUCUUAUUUUAGAAUGGCGAUAGAUUAUCCAAGUCUCUGACCUAUCAGCUUUCGACGGUAGUGUAUUGGACUACCGUGGCAGUGUUGGGUAACGGGGAAUUAGGGUUCGAUUCCGGAGAGGGAGCCUGAGAAACUGCUACCACAUCUAAGGAAGGCAGCAGGCGCGCGAAUUACCCAAUCCUGCUACAGGGAGGGAGUGACAAGAAAUAACAACACUGGAAAUUUAAUAUCUAGUGAUUGGAAUGAUGGGAAUCCAAACCCCUUUCAGAGUAACAAUUGGAGGGCAAGUCUGGUGCCAGCAGCCGCGGUAGUUCCAGCUCCAAUAGCGUAUAUUGAAGUUGCUGCAGUUAGAAAGCUCCUAAUUGAAUAUCUGCUGGAAGCAAUCAGUCCGCCCUUUUUAUAGGGUUGUGCACUUGAUGAAUUCUGGCAUGAUUCUAAUCUUUCCUAAUGGCAAUGGUUAUUAUUAGGUUGACGCCGAACAAUAAUGGUUAUUAUAUUGGGAUAGAUAGCCGUUACUUUGGGAAAAUUAGAGUGUUUAAUGCAGGCUGUUUUAUGCCUUGAAUACUGCACCAUGGAAUAACAAUAUAGGAUUUCGGUUCUAUUUUGUUGGUUUCUAGGGCUGGAAUAAUGGUUAAUAGGGACAGUUGGGGGCAUUCGUAUUCAACUGUCAGAGGUGAAAUUCUUAGAUUUGUUAAAGACGAACUAAUGCGAAAGCAUUUGCCAAAGAUGUUUUCAUUAAUCAAGAACGAAAGUUAGGGGCUCGAAGACGAUCAGAUACCGUCGUAGUCUUAACCAUAAACUAUGCCAACUAGAGAUAGGAAAAUGUCAUUACUGACUUCUCCUGCACCUUAUGAGAAAUCAAAGUCUUUGAGCUCUGGGGGGAGUAUGGUCGCAAGGCUGAAACUCAAAGGAAUUGACGGAAGGGCACCACCAGGCGUGGAGCCUGCGGCUUAAUUUGAAUCAACACGGGGAAACUCACCAGGUCCAGACAUAGG